AAAUUCUUGAAUUUAAUUGUUAACCGACUCGAGAAGUACAACGUCCUAUAAAUAGAAUGCACAAAGAUCCCCUGGACUCAGCUCAACUCUAGUCAAACUGAACAAGACAGGACAAGAAGACAGACAACAACGACAACGUAGUAACUAGCUCGAGUAAGAGAACGAUAAAAAUAUUAGGACUUCAAAAAAACUUAUACUUCAACGAUAUAUACAGUUCUCAUGCAAUAUAAAAAUAAAAUAAUGUAAAAUCCUCGUUAGCUAGCAUGCACUAUACACUGUAGUACGAUAGUAUGAAGGCACAUAUCUUCAAUUAAACCUAAAGCCGUCUUCAGUAAAAGACUCCAAUUUUUUAUGCUUACUAGACACUUAGUUCCUUUCCCAUAUUUGGAUUUUAAGUGAUUUGGAGUGUGUUAACUUUAGGUUUUCAGUUCCUCAAAAAGCGUGAGAAUUAAGGCGUAUUGCAUGUCAUGAUAGUAACAUUACAAUAUAUUCAAAACAGUCGGCACCACAUUUUGAAUGGCCGUAUAUAUUAAAUAAUUUAAUCUCUUUAUUUUCUCCAUUUUGAUUAAGAUGCCGGCGAGUAUACAGCAGAAGAAUCAAUUGAAAUAUCGGCCAGCGGGAACUGUUCAACGAGCUGUUCGGAAAAUGUUCCGCGGUUGUCAAAUGUAUUUUCAUUUGUGUCGCGAAUAAUAGAAGGAAUACAUAUGGCUUGUCAAAGAGGAGCAGCACCAGGCCUUUUUAAAUGAAUAUUUUGGCCUUGGCAUAACAAUAUAAACGUCAUUACAUAGACGCUUCCUUAUAUAACCUAUAGAGAUAUCAGUAUACCAGAAUAUAAUUACAAUUUCACCUAAAAUAGAGUGUGUAUAGUAAAUCAAGAAUAGCUGAACUAUGUAAUAAAUAUAAUAUAUAAAGGAUAAUAAACUGUGAGCUACG